rnacentral:rRNA from 1 species
UGGGGAAUUUUGGACAAUGGGCGCAAGCCUGAUCCAGCCAUGCCGCGUGCAGGAUGAAGGCCCUCGGGUUGUAAACUGCUUUUGUACGGAACGAAAAAGCUCUGGUUAAUACCUGGGGCCCAUGACGGUACCGUACGAAUAAGCACCGGCUAACUACGUGCCAGCAGCCGCGGUAAUACGUAGGGUGCAAGCGUUAAUCGGAAUUACUGGGCGUAAAGCGUGCGCAGGCGGUCUUGCAAGACAGUGGUGAAAUCCCCGGGCUCAACCUGGGAACUGCCAUUGUGGCUGCAAGGCUAGAGUGCGGCAGAGGGGGAUGGAAUAACGCGUGUAGCAGUGACAUGCGUAGAUAUGCGGAGGAGCACCGAUGGCGAAGGC